rnacentral:rRNA from 1 species
UACAGAGGUCUCAAGCGUUGUUCGGAUUCAUUGGGCGUAAAGGGCGCGUAGGCGGCGGGGUAAGUCGGGUGUGAAAUCUCAGAGCUCAACUCUGAAACUGCACUCGAUACUGCUCUGCUUGAGGACUGGAGAGGAGACUGGAAUUCACGGUGUAGCAGUGAAAUGCGCAGAUAUCAGGAGGAACACCGAUGGCGAAGGCAGGUCUCUGGGCCAUAACUGACGCUGAGGAGCGAAAGCGUGGGGAGCGAACAGG